rnacentral:tRNA from 1 species
GUGUUGGUGGUUCAGUGGUAGAAUUCUCGCCUGCCAUGCGGGAGGACCGGGUUUGUUUCCUGGCCAAUGAA